UUGAACGCUGGCGGCAGGCCUAACACAUGCAAGUCGAGCGGUAGAGAGAAGCUUGCUUCUCUUGAGAGCGGCGGACGGGUGAGUAAUGCCUAGGAAUCUGCCUGGUAGUGGGGGAUAACGUUCGGAAACGGACGCUAAUACCGCAUACGUCCUACGGGAGAAAGCAGGGGACCUUCGGGCCUUGCGCUAUCAGAUGAGCCUAGGUCGGAUUAGCUAGUUGGUGGGGUAAUGGCUCACCAAGGCGACGAUCCGUAACUGGUCUGAGAGGAUGAUCAGUCACACUGGAACUGAGACACGGUCCAGACUCCUACGGGAGGCAGCAGUGGGGAAUAUUGGACAAUGGGCGAAAGCCUGAUCCAGCCAUGCCGCGUGUGUGAAGAAGGUCUUCGGAUUGUAAAGCACUUUAAGUUGGGAGGAAGGGCAGUAAAUUAAUACUUUGCUGUUUUGACGUUACCGACAGAAUAAGCACCGGCUAACUCUGU
rnacentral:rRNA from 1 species